rnacentral:rRNA from 1 species
UACGUAGGGUGCAAGCGUUAAUCGGAAUUACUGGGCGUAAAGCGUGCGCAGGCGGUUCGGAAAGAGAGGUGUGAAAUCCCAGGGCUUAACCUUGGAACUGCAUUUUUAACUGCCGGGCUAGAGUAUGUCAGAGGGGGGUAGAAUUCCACGUGUAGCAGUGAAAUGCGUAGAGAUGUGGAGGAAUACCGAUGGCGAAGGCAGCCCCCGGGGAUAAUACUGACGCUCAUGCACGAAAGCGUGGGGAGCAAACAGG